GACGAACGCUGGCGGCGUGCUUAACACAUGCAAGUCGAACGGAAAGGCCCUGCUUUUGUGGGGUGCUCGAGUGGCGAACGGGUGAGUAACACGUGAGUAACCUGCACUUGACUUUGGGAUAACUUCAGGAAAAUGGGGCUAAUACCGGAUAGGAGCUCCUGCUGCAUGGGGGGGGUUGGAAAGUUUCGGCUGUUGUGGAUGGACUAGCGGCUUAUCAGCUUGUUGGUGGGGUAGUGGCUUACCAAGGCUUUGAAGGGUAGCCGGCAUUAGAGGGUGACCGGCCACAUUGGGACUGAGGUACGGCCCAGUCUCCUACGGUACGCAGCAGUGGGGAACAUUGCACAACGGGCGGACGCCUGAUGCAGCAACGCCGCGUGCGGGAUGCCGGCCUACGGGUUGUAAACCGCUUUCGCCUGUGACGAAGCGUGCGUGACGGUACUUGGUAAGGAAGCACCGGCUAACUACGUG
rnacentral:rRNA from 1 species